rnacentral:rRNA from 1 species
UACGUAGGGUGCAAGCGUUAAUCGGAAUUACUGGGCGUAAAGCGUGCGCAGGCGGUGAUGUAAGACAGGUGUGAAAUCCCCGGGCUUAACCUGGGAACUGCAUUUGUGACUGCAUCGCUGGAGUGCGGCAGAGGGGGAUGGAAUUCCGCGUGUAGCAGUGAAAUGCGUAGAUAUGCGGAGGAACACCGAUGGCGAAGGCAGCCUCCUGGGAUAACACUGACGCUCAUGCACGAAAGCGUGGGGAGCAAACAGG